GGGGAAGCCAGCCGAAGCACUAACCAUCAUAACUGGGGCCUCUUUUUUUUUUACUUACAAAUUUAUUUUUUAUUGGUGUUCAAUUUGCCAACAUACAGAAUAACACCCAGUGCUCAUCCCGUCCAGUGCCCCCCUCAGCGCCCGUCCCCCAGUCACCCCCACCCCCCACCCAACUCCCCUUCCACCACCCCUAGUUCGUUUCCCAGAGUCAGGGGUCUCUCACGUUCUGUCUCCCUUUCUGAUAUUUCCCACUCAUUUUUUCAAUCAGAUGCACGCUCAUCCUCUGGAGCCGGGGCCCACCUUGCCGCCUGGGAUUGAUAAGGAAAGGGUUCAGGCUCUGUUUGGGGCCCUUCUUCCUGCGGAUCACAAGCUGUCCAGAAGCCCAGUUGGAAAAUCGGGCGAGUUAGAAGGGAUCAAACCUUGAGUCCCCCAUCUGCAGCAGACUGUUGUGGGAAGGAGGAAGAAGGAGAGACUUGGAAGUCACUGGGCUGCUUCUCUCCAGCCCUGUGUCCUUGCACUCGGUGACCCCGGGGUCAUGGCUUUGGCACAAGGGCCGUGAGUUCAGUCCUGGUACAUGAUCGGGUGUGGAAAGUCUCUCCUUUCCAGAAGCAGCAGCAGCUGCUCAGUACUUGCCUCAUGCAAAGGCACAGCUUUCUUCUUGGAGAGGGAAAAAAGGCCAUCCUCGCGGUGAAACGUGCUUCCUUCGUCCUGAGAGUAACGCCUCCAUUGCACUUGGUACAAAUUCAGCCAGUAUUGGUGCAGAAGCCUGGCACUGUGUUAGGUACAUACUUCUCUUGUACAAGCUCUUUAUGGAUGAUAUUAUCAUGAUUUAAUUGUCCUCUUUUCCAGCUCUAGUAAUUUCUAACUUUUAUUCCCCCCAAGGGUCACAGAACCCGUCAGGAAUCUGGUGAAAGCUUCAGACCCUCUGCCCACAAAAGUACACAGGUAUCAAUUUUGGAUGUCAUUUUAGGGAGUUUCUGAGACUCCCAGGGUGCACAGAACCAGUGCAAGGCUGCUUCCCGCUGCAAGUUGUCAGGAACCCUGCCUGAUUUAUCAUCAUGCCCCCAAUACCUAGGACAGUGGUUUCCAUGGAACAGAGGUUUGGGGACUAUGUGUGAAAUGAAGGAAUGAUUUCCCCAGGUAACUUAGGUCUACUGUGCCUGUGAGCUCGGGGAUCUGAGGACUCUGUCAUUCGGGGCGUGAGAGGUCUUAUAAACUACACUGAAAAAAAGCUAGAGGGCGAAGAAGGGUGCAGGCAGAGGAGGAGGCCACACUGGGUUACCUGGGGGAAUACAUUGUGAGUCUGCUUCGAAAAACAAAUCAGACAUGGGGAUUCAAGCAUAUUGUUGGAAUGACAAGAAUAGGAAAGCUUCUGGAGUCUAACUGAAACCGUAUGUAGCCACAUAUUGUUUUUCCCAGAAAAGGAUCCUAAUUAGGUCAGUUCUAUAUUGUUCUUAUGGUGUCAGAUGCACAGGAAGGCAGGCCCCUCAGCGGUAUACAAAUGGCCUUUCUGAGAAGGAUGGGGGGUGCUGAGACCACCUCGGAAAAGACCCCACAUAUUAAAACAUAAUUGAUUUGUCACAAGCACUGAGAUCUGAUGAGCGACACUCUGUACUGACUUAUUUAUUACUAAUUCAGACACAAAAAUGUUAUCCCUGGCAGUAACUUGACAGAGCCCAUGUCAAAUAGGGCAGGUGUUUUGGUCUUUCAUUUCAUGGGCUCCAAAUUCCAGGGGGCUAUUUUUCCAAUUGCUACAUGGCUAUCUCUCCCUGGCUUAGAUCUGAGCUCCUCACACACAUCCUGGCACCAGGGGCUUCAGCAGCAGGCG
rnacentral:lncRNA from 1 species